rnacentral:rRNA from 1 species
AUUGAACGCUGGCGGCAGGCUUAACACAUGCAAGUCGAGCGAGUGGCGGACGGGUGAGUAAGGUCUGGGAAACUGCCUGAUGGAGGGGGAUAACUACUGGAAACGGGAGCUAAUACCGCAUACCAUCAGAUGUGCCCAGAUGGGAUUAGCUAGUAGGUGGGGUAAUGGCUCAACUAGGCGACGAUCCCUAGCUGGUCUGAGAGGAUGAACAGCCACACUGGAACUGUGACACGGUCCAUACUCCUACGCGAGGCAGCAGUUGGGAAUAGUGCACUAUGGGCGCAAUCCUGAUGCAGCCAUGCCGCGUGUGUGAAGAAGGCCUUCGGUUUGUAAAGCACUUUCAGCGAGGAGGCGUUACUCGCAGAAGAAGCACCGGCUAACUCCGUGCCAGCAGCCGCGGUAAUUC